UACAGCAGCGUAGUGGUUAGUGCUGCUGUCUUUGGACCCGUAGGCUGCGGGUUUGAAUCCCACCUCUAGCUGUAG
rnacentral:tRNA from 1 species